UACGUAGGGACCAAGCGCUGUUCGGAUUUACUGGGCGUAAAGGGCGCGUAGGCGGCGUGGUAAGUCACUUGUGAAAUCUCUGAGCUUAACUCAGAACGGCCAAGUGAUACUGCUGUGCUAGAGUGCAGAAGGGGCAAUCGGAAUCCUUGGUGUAGCGGUGAAAUGCGUAGAUAUCAAGAGGAACACCUGAGGUGAAGACGGGUUGCUGGGCUGACACUGACGCUGAGGCGCGAAAGCCAGGGGAGCAAACGGG
rnacentral:rRNA from 1 species